CCAGCAUGGUGGUGCUGAAGGGCGUCCCCGCGCUGGUGUCCCCCGAGCUGCUCUACGCCCUGGCGCGGAUGGGGCACGGAGAUGAGAUCGGCUGUGGGCCUGGACCGGGCUGCGUGGCCGGACGCUGGGCGGGACUCCGGGCAGCCUUCGGGUGACACCUGCAGUUCCUCCUAUGUCUGGGGCUCCCUCUCCUCCCCUCUCUUGGACGGGAAGGGAGGGGUAGUGGGCGUGUCCUAACGCGUCUGAGUGGCUACCCCGGGUCUGCGCCCAAGCCCGCGGCGGGCUGCGCGGACCCACCGCGGAUGUCUAACCGUGCUGGCUGCUCAGUUCUUGCGGACAUGAACUUCCCCACCGCCUCCAUCUGCAGGUGUGGCCCAGAGGAGAUCCGUGCCGACGGCCUGGGCAUCCCUCAGCGCCUGGAGGCUGUGCUGCAGCUGCUACCACUGGACGACUACGCGGAGAGGCCGGCUGUGGCCAUGGAGCUGGUGCCCAGCGACACGGAGAGGGGCCUGCAGACCCCAGUGUGGACAAGCUACCAGCCCAUCCUCUCCAGGGCCGGUUGUGCGAGUCCCCUGGCCACAAUAGAGAGAUUUGAGUUUUAUGAGCGGACCAGAAAGGCUUUUGCUGUUGUGACAACUGGGCCUGUUGAAGACCACCCGCCCAGAGAGGGAUCUGGAACCCUGGGCCCGACACCACCACCAGCAGGCGUGUCCAGCGGCAGAUGAACUGGCCUGGCCCUGCCUGGCAGCGCUCAGAGCUCCCCCAGCCAGGGGCUCCGGGGGCCCAGCGGGUCCUGGGUGGGCCUCUGCUGACCAGGGCUGGCGUUAUCCCAGUUCAGGAAAAUGAUGGAAAAGUGCAGUGACUUGCCAACAUACAGUCCAAAGGUUUAAACAGGAGCUCCAUCUUCACUCACAAAGGCCUGUUUGGUGCUGAGUGCAACGGCGGCUGUGGGCUCCCUGGAGGGCAGACCCCACCCACUCUCGGUGAACCCUCAGGCGGGAAGUAAGGCCUCCCUCCUCCCGAUAGGUUUGGGUCACCUGACUUGGCAAGUCCCUGGGUUUGGGAUGAGAGUUCACACAGGUCGAGACCCUCGCGUGGGGAGAUCGCACAGAGGGCCUGGGCAGGGGCCUGGGUGAUGCAGCACACGGCAGGGGGCCUGGAGGUGGGUGCAUCAGCUACCCAGGCAGCCCUGAGUGGGCUGCAGUCACUAAGGUGGCCCUUGAAGAGGGGGCCAGGGCUGUUCCUUCAGCCCCAGAGGCAGGAGGGCAGGUGGCAGAAGCUGGUCUGGAGCCUCCGGGGGCUGACCACACCGUCAGCUGGGGUGGGGGGCGCUGGGCCCUGUGCCUGGGUUCCCUCGCUCUGGUGGUUGAGCGCCUACGGAAUACGCAUGAGCCCGACUGGGUCUGGCGAUGGCCGGGGCGGCAGGUAGAGGACAGGAGGACGCGAGGCUCCCAGGCAAAGGGGGCCUGCGAGGUUGCGACGGCUUCCCGGCACGUUCUCAAACUGGGUCUCCCGGGGUGGGCGGGGUUCCCACUGGCCAUUGCACAGGAUCCCUCCCUGAGGGCCCUCUCCCUGCUCCUCCAGACCUUCUCACAGCACGUGGGCGUGGGAGCUGGGAUGACCAGGGAUCCCCAGGGCUCGGGGGAGGCUCCCAUGGUCAGGACCAGGGGCUGGUGGGCCUGGAAGGCAGACAGGUCCACUGGGCGGAGGUCUGGGGCUCAGCCUGGGGAAGGGACCACGUUCUGGGCCCGCCACUGCCAGGGCUAAUCUCUGAUCCCUGACCCCACGGCCAGCCACUUCCAGCGACACACGGGCCUCUCUUGAAACAGCUUUAUCGAGGUUGAAUUGACACGCAGUAAGUAAGCUGUUCACGUUUAAAGCAUUCAGUUAAAUUCGUUUGGGUGUUGGACCAGCACCUCCAUCCCCCCGCCUCUUCCCUGCCCCGACUGGUCCGCCCCCCCCCCCCUGCUGGUCAGUGUGCACUUUGCAGAACUCCGUGUAAGUGGAAGGCCGUGCAUGCCGUCUGCGUGCUCGCGGUGGGGUGGGGUGUAGAGCGGGAUUUUGCUGUGCACGAGCGGGAUUUUGCUGCAGAGCGGGAUUCUGCUGUGCACGCACUGCUGUGUUCCAUCCAGGCAGCUCUUGGGGGGCGCUGGGUUGCUUUCAGCUCUUGGCUAUUGCAGAUAAGCUUGCUGUGAACGUGCCCGCACAAGUCUGCGUGGACAAGAGCCUUCAUUUCUGGAGUAAAACACCUCUGGUCAAGGCUCGGCCGUAGGGCGUGUGUAUGUGUGACUUUGUAAGAAACUCCCAAACCGUUUCCAAAGCAGCUGAGCUGGUUUACAUCCCCAGCCCUGGGAAUGUGCAUUCCAGCCCCUGGUCCUCAUCCUGGCUGCUGGUCUUUCCCGUGAGCCGCUCUAAGGGGACUGUAGUGGUGAGUUCUCUGAUCGUUAAUGAUGUUGAACAUCUUCUCAUGGGUGUGUGUGCCUUCUAUUUUCUUUGGUGACAUGAAUGGUCAAUCUCCUGCCCAUUUUGGCACUGGGGCGUUUAAUGAUUCCAGUCACCAAUUACACUGUGUGGGGGGGGGAGGGGCAGGGCCCCCCCCCCCCCGCCAGGCAGCCCCUCAGCACCGGCCGGCGUCCUGCAGUCCGCUUGGUUCUGACAACCCCUGCCCAGGGACGCGUCAGAUCCCGCAGGCUCGGGGCUCAGUCCCACGGGACUGCCCCCCACGAUGCCCCCACUCCAGAUGCCAGUCCCAAGCCCAGGUGGGCACCCGGACUUCUGACCGACCGGCUGUAGAUAGAGGGUUCCCAUGACCCCUCCUCAGGCUCAGUUAGUUUUCUAGAGCGGCUCAUAGAACUCAGGGAAACAUUCACUCCCUAGAUCACCGCUUAUCCUAAAAGGAUAGGACUCAGGACCAGCCAGGUGGAUGAGGUACGGGGAGGGGCUUCCGCGCCCUCUCCAGCACCCCUCUCCCCGCACCUCCACAUGCUCACCAACCCGAAGCUCUCCAGACCCAUCCUUCUGGGUUUCUGUGGAGGCUUCACUACACAGGCUGUUUGAUUCAGUCGCUGGCCACUGGCGACUGAUCCAACCCCCAGCCCCUCUCCCCUCCCUGAGGUCUGGGCCUGGGGCUGGAGGUUCCAACCCUCAAUUCCUGGUCGGUUCCCUGCAACUGGCCCCAUCCUUAGGGACCUUCCCAGAGUCACCUCAGUCACACAGCAAAGGACACCUUUAUCACGCCCAUCACUCAGGAAAUUCCAAGGGUUUUAGGAGCUCUGUGCCAGGGUCAGGGACGAAGAUCACGCACAUUUCUGAUUAUAAGUCACAGUACUUUUCACUUAGUCCACUUGCUGGGGAGCCCCAGUGCCCACCAGAAGGGCCUUGGGUUCAACCAAAUGCUCAGACUCAGGGAAGAGCACAGACCACCCUUGCCAGCCGUCCACUGAGGAAGAACGUCCCACAGGUGCAGUGGGUCACAGCUGCUCUGUGGCUCAGGGCAGCUCAGGUGUGUGGGGAUGAGGGUCGCUGGGCACCGCCUGGCCAAGAGCCUGUGCCCCCAGACGCAGGUGCAGCGUCCAGGGUCCCCGGCAGGACCACUGCAUCAGGGAAGCCAGGGCUGCGGCUCCCAGGAAUGACCUCAGUUGUCUCACUCCCUGCCUGGAUGCCUCACCCGCCAGCGGUCGCUCUGCAGAAGCAGUACUGCCUAUGACACCGGGGAGCAGAGGCAGCACCCAGCAGGCUCAGUCUGGGCGGCGGGGAAGUUUCAGGCACCAAGUGCUUCCCUCUCGAUGCCGGAGCGCGACUGCCACGCAGAAACCCCGCCUGCACUUGCACACACCCCAGCACAUGUACAACUUGUGGCAAAUUCCAGUGACCCUGUACCUGCGUCUGUGACAUCAGGCCUGCUGAGCCAGGCCGCGCCAGAUGACUGGUCACCUCAGAGAGUGCCAGCAACUGCCCAGAAAAUGAGGACAGAAAGGCUGGGCCCAAGUCCACCCCCAGUCACCUGUGCCCCUGCCUGCCUGUCCCCCCGAGCACCUGCCCACUUGUGCCCCUGUCCCCCUGAGCAGUCAGCGACUGGGCUCCCUGCUCCCGAGUCCUUUCCAUUCUCCGGUCCUGUCCAUGGGGAGCCCGGAGAAGCUCCGUCCGCACCCCAGCACAUGAGAAGGCCUGGGGGAAGCAGAUGGCUCCCAGAGCAUGGGCGCUGGGUGCAGGAGCCAAGCGUCAGCCUGGGGCUGCCCGGGGGCCAGCCUGUGGCCCCCCUUCUCCCAGACAGAGCAGGCGGGGCCCACAAUCACUGUUCUUGAAGACACAUGUGGCCUCCGCCUCUUUGCAGGGUUUAUUUUUUCCAGCUGGGGGGGUCAAGGCUCCCAGGAGUCUUCCUUGGGGUGGUAGAUGUGGUCUCGGUCCUCCUCUGGCCCUUGAAGCACUUGCUGAGGUGGCAGCACCUGAGCCCAGGGCCUUGCCUCCCCCUGGGCCUCCUCGGGCCAGUUGUGGUACAGGCUGUCAUGGUCAGGCUCAGGGCCCCACCUGGGGCUUGGGACACGGCCCAGGGUGUCCUUGGUCUCUGCCAGGGCCUCGGCACCUAGGGACAGACAGAGGGAAGUGUGGCCUCAGUUUCCCUCCCGAGGCUUCAUUCGUCCACGUCAGCCCCUUGCAAGCCCCCUCCCCAGGGGGCAGCGCCUGCCCUGACCUGGCCGCUUCUCCCCGGUGGUGGCCAAGAGCUUUGGUGCCAUGAACAGCCCCAUGAGCUGGCUGUCCUUCUCCAGAGGCUCCACCGCUCGGGUGCCCCAGGCCCUGUGGGCAAGAGCAUCUGGGUCAGGUCACCGUGCGCAGCGGGAGACCCCAGGACAGCACCCCUGCCCCGCCCCCAACCCAGACCCACGCGCCAGGCAUCCCCACGACGUCCCUCAUGUGCGUGGGGCCCGGGAAGGUCCCCGAGGCUGAGGCCUUGAGAAGGCUCCAUGGGCUUGGCCGGGGCUCCCUCCUGCGUAGAGGUCAGCGGAGCCCAGUCUACAGGCGGUGCUGCGUCCUCCCGCCUGGCCGGCCGUCUCACGUGGGUGCGGGAAGGGGGCACGGCUGGCUCAGUCUGCUGCCUCGGCCACCCGGGGCGGGAGCCACCCUGGAGGCUACAGGGGAGCAGGGGAGCUGGGCGGGGCAGGAGGGGGGGACUGGAUCCUCCAGGCCCUGCGCUCUGCUCGGUCGCUCACCGAUCUCAGGGGCUCCCGUGCAUCCCCUCCCCAAAGCUGCUGGACAGGAUCCCCCCUCCAUCCAUGAAGGCCCCCAGCUCAGGGAAGGCCCAAAGGGGGCACAGCAGGGGAAGGCGAGAGAGGCUGCCGGGGGCACUCACUCCUCUGUGCUCUGCUCAGCCCCGACUUUGCCUUUGGUCUGGACGAGGACCUGGGAGAGAGAGGUCACAGGUGAGGCUCAGUGCGGUCCUCCAAGGGUCCUCCUCUGGGGACUGGCUGGAGGCUGUGUGGUGUCUGGGGAGACUUGGGGACAGCAUGGGGUCUAUACUUGCACCACCUGUCCCCUGGUGGCCUGAGGAAGGGGGGCCAGCUCCUCUGCCCGUACUUCCUUGCGGGGCCAGUGGGGACAGGGGAGCAAAUGAAACGGGUGACCCAGCCCAGUGACCAGUGCCCGGCAGCUGUGGGACAGCUGUGCCGGUCUUCCUGUGUCUCCCCCUUCACCUGGCACUCCCAGGGAGUAGGGCUGAGUGGCCCAGAGCCAGGGCUGGUGAAGAACACGGCCCCAGCACAGUCCUGGCCCCUGGGCAGCCCGGCAUGUGGAGGUGCCCUGGGCUUCACAGCACAGGUGAGCGUCAUCAGGCCCCCUCCUCCACCUGGCUCACCUGGGGUCGUCGAGACUUGUCCAUCAGACCCCGCAGAGGGGCCGCUCCCCUCAUCCUGAGGGUCCCCCCAGUGCCCACGGGCCCGCCCGGUGCGCAGGACCUGCAGUCCCAUGGGUGCCACGCCUUCCCUGCCCUAGGCCG